UACGUAGGGUGCAAGCGUUGUCCGGAAUUAUUGGGCGUAAAGAGCUCGUAGGCGGUUUGUCGCGUCUGCUGUGAAAACCCGAGGCUCAACCUCGGGCCUGCAGUGGGUACGGGCAGACUUGAGUACUGCAGGGGAGACUGGAAUUCCUGGUGUAGCGGUGGAAUGCGCAGAGUAUCAGGAGGAACACCGGUGGCGAAGGCGGCUCUCUGGACCGAUACUGGACGCUGAGGAGCGAAAGCGUGGGGAGCAAACAGG
rnacentral:rRNA from 1 species